AGCCGCGGUAACACCGGCGGCUCGAGUGGUAACCGUUAUUAUUGGGUCUAAAGGGUCUGUAGCCGGCCGGAUAAGUCUCUUGAGAAAUCUGGCAGCUUAACUGUCAGGCUUUCAGGAGAUACUGUCUGGCUCGAGGCCGGGAGAGGUGAGAGGUACUUCAGGGGUAGGGGUGAAAUCUUGUAAUCCUUGAAGGACCACCAGUGGCGAAGGCGUCUCACCAGAACGGACCUGACGGCAAGGGACGAAAGCUAGGGGCACGAACCGGAUUAGAUACCCGGGUAGUCCUAGCCGUAAACGAUACUCGCUAGGUGUCGGCCACGGUGCGACCGUUGUCGGUGCCGUAGGGAAGCCGUGAAGCGAGCCACCUGGGAAGUACGGCCGCAAGGCUGAAACUUAAAGGAAUUGGCGGGGGAGCACCACAACGGGUGGAGCUUGCGGUUUAAUUGGAUUCAACGCCGGAAAUCUUACCGGGACCGACAGCAAUAUGAAGGCCAGGCUGAAGACUUUGCCGGAUUAGCU
rnacentral:rRNA from 1 species